rnacentral:lncRNA from 1 species
GUUCUUUUGUAUGAAGAAAAAUUUGAAAAUGAUAAAAGCUAAGAUGCCUUCUAACUUCAUAAACAAAUCUAUAAUCUAAUGAUACGUCAAAAAGUCACUCCACACAUACCAACUUUUUUCCUGUGAACAUUUAUUGUUGGUAAAAAGGCAUCUGAUAUUUUAGAUGUAUCCAUAUUUAUAAAAGUGUAAAGCACAAUGGAAUUAUGCUGGAAGUCUCAAAUAAUAUUUUUCCUACUUUAUAUUCAUGGAAGAGAUGAGCUAAAGAGAGAACAAUAAUGAGAAAUGGUGGUGUG